GAUCCGGGGAUGUCCGAAUGGGGAAACCUAGCACCAGUCAUGUGGUGUUGCCUCCGCCUGAAUGUAUAGGGCGGUUGGUGGUAACGCGGGGAAGUGAAACAUCUCAGUACCCGUAGGAAGAGAAAACAAGAGUGAUUCCGUGAGUAGUGGUGAGCGAAAGCGGAUGAGGCUAAACCGGGCGUGUGUGAUAGCCGGCAGGCGUUGCAUGUUCGGGGUCGUGGGACCUUCUGGGUCGAUCUGCCGGUCGGCCAAGCAGUGAUAAAUCCAGUCGAUAGUUGAAGCCUCUGGGAAGGGGCGCCGUAGACCGUGAGAGCCGGGUAGGCGAAAUCGGUUGGACUGCUGGAGGGGAUCCCAAGUAGCACGGGGCUCGAGGAAUCCUGUGUGAAUCUGCCAGGACCACCUGGUAAGCCUAAAUACUCCCUGGUGACCGAUAGUGCACGAGUACCGUGAGGGAAAGGUGAAAAGUGCCCCGGUGAGGGGUCGUGAAAUAGUACCUGAAACCGUGUGCCUACAAGCCGUAGGAGCUUACAUCAGCUUGCUGGUGUGUGAUGUGACUGCGUGCCUUUUGAAGAAUGAGCCUGCGAGUUAUGGUGUGUGGCGAGGUUAACCCGUGUGGGGGAGCCGUAGCGAAAGCGAGUCUGAAGAGGGCGUUUGAGUCGCAUGCUGUAGACCCGAAGCGGGGUGAUCUACGCAUGGGCAGGUUGAAGCUCAGGUAAGACUGGGUGGAGGACCGAACCCACCAGGGUUGAAAACCUGGGGGAUGACCUGUGUGUAGGGGUGAAAGGCCAAUCAAACUCCGUGAUAGCUGGUUCUCCCCGAAAUGCAUUUAGGUGCAGCGUUACGCGUUUCUUGCCGGAGGUAGAGCACUGGAUGGCCGAUGGGCCCGACAAGGUUACUGACGUCAGCCAAACUCCGAAUGCCGGUAAGUGAGAGCGUGGCAGUGAGACUGCGGGCGAUAAGGUUCGUAGUCGAGAGGGAAACAGCCCAGAUCACCGACUAAGGCCCCUAAGCGUGUGCU
rnacentral:rRNA from 1 species